rnacentral:rRNA from 1 species
AUUGAACGCUGGCGGCAGGCCUAACACAUGCAAGUCGAACGAGUGGCGGACGGGCGAGUAAUGUAUGGGAAACUGCCUGAUGGAGGGGGAUAACUACUGGAAAAGGUAGCUAAUACAGCAUACAAUCAGAUGUGCCCAGAUGGGCUUAGGGAGUUGGUGGGGUAACGGCUCACCAAGGCGACGCGCCCUAGCUGGUCUGAGAGGAUGACCGGCAGCACUGGAACUGAGAACCGGUCCAGACUCCUACGGGAGGCAGCAGUGGGGAAUAUUGCACAAUGGUCGCAAGCCUGAUGCAGCCAUGCCGCGUGUCUGAGGAAGGCCUUCGGGUUGUAAAGUACUUUCAGCGGGGAGGCGUUACCCGCAGAAGAAGCACCGGCUAACUCCGUGCCAGCAGCCGCGGUAAUAC